AACGAACGCUGGCGGCAUGCCUAACACAUGCAAGUCGAACGAGACCUUCGGGUCUAGUGGCGCACGGGUGCGUAACGCGUGGGAACCUGCCCUUAGGUUCGGAAUAACUCCCCGAAAGGGGUGCUAAUACCGGAUAAUGUCUUCGGACCAAAGAUUUAUCGCCUUUGGAUGGGCCCGCGUUGGAUUAGCUAGUUGGUAGGGUAAAAGCCUACCAAGGCGAUGAUCCAUAGCUGGUCUGAGAGGAUGAUCAGCCACACUGGGACUGAGACACGGCCCAGACUCCUACGGGAGGCAGCAGUGGGUAAUAUUGGACAAUGGGCGAAAGCAUGAUCCAGCAAUGCCGCGUGAGUGAUGAAGGCCUUAGGGUUGUAAAGCUCUUUUACCCGGGAUGAUAAUGACAGUACCGGGAGAAUAAGCUCCGGCUAACUCCGUG
rnacentral:rRNA from 1 species